GCCGGGCGUGGUGGCUCACGCCUGUAAUCCUACCACUUUAGGAGGCCGAGGUGGGUGGAUCACCUGAGGUCAGGAGUUCAAGACCAGCCUGGCCAACAUGGUGAAACCCUGUCUCUA
rnacentral:SRP_RNA from 2 species